rnacentral:lncRNA from 1 species
UUUCCUCUGCUUGGUCCAUUCUGCUGUUAAGAGCCUCUAAUGAGUUCUUCAGUUCAGCAAAUGUAUUUCUCAGUUCCAAGAUUUCUGUUUGAUUAUUUCCAUCUUUGUUAAAUUUCUCUGAUAAAUUUCAGAAGUGAUUUUCUGUGUUCUUGGUGAUCCCUGAGUCUCUGUAAAACUGCUAUUUUGAAUUCUUGGUCAGAGAGCUCACAAACUGUCUUCUCGUUAGGGUCACUAGAUUUUUGCUUUGUCCUUUUUGAAGAGGUCACAGUUCCCUGUUUGCUGUUGUUUCUUGUGAGUAUACAUCUGUCCUUGCAUUGAAGGAUUAUUUAUUCCAGUUUUCUCUGUCUGGCUUGUUUUGGGUUUUAUUGGAUAUUUUUGCUUAGCAAGUCUUUACCACUAGGUCACUGCCUCCUUUUCAGCUCCACAUGGCACGUUAAGCCCAGGCUCACCUCAACUCCAGAACAUGAUGGGAGCUUUGCCUGUCCUGAACUGGGAAGGUCCCAAAGGAAUUAUCCCAGCAGUGUGACAAGGCUGGUGAGGGGUUUGUGCCCAAGGGAGCUGGGAAACAUACCUCCUCCAGUGGCUGCUGCUGAACAGCCACUCUGAUUUGGCAUCUCCUGUGGCUGUUACAGAGCAGUCUCUCCAGGGCUGGGGAUGGUAGUUCCCCCUCCCCCAUUUGUCACUGCCUGUCCCCACAGAUUUCCCUCUUCAGGCAGUCAUGCUGCUGCCUGUCGGUUAAUGCAAGGACAGGUCUCCUGCCAGGGAUUCUAGCAUGGUGGGAAAGCUGGUUGACCACCUCAGUCUCACCCUUCCCAGUGUAAAAACCGGUGAGUCGGUGAUAUGGUUUGGCUCUGUGUCCCCAGCCAAAUCUCAUCUUGAAUUAUAGUCCCCAGGUGUCGAAGGAGGGACCAGGUGGGAGAUGAUUGGAUCAUGGGGUGGUUUCCCCAUGCUGUCCUCGUGAGAGUGAGUUCUUAUGAGAUCUGAUGGUUUUAUAAGUGUUUGACACUUCCUCCUUCACACACACACUCUCUCCUGCCACCUUGUGAAGAAGGCACCUGCUUCCCCUUCCACCAUGAUUGUAAGUUUCCCGAGGCCUCCCCAACCAUGCAGAACUGUGAGUCAAUUAAAGCUCUUUUCUUUACAAAUUACCCCGUCUCAAGCAGUUCUUCAUAGCAGUGUACUAAUACUGUCAGGGAAAGAUUCUCCACUCAAUUGUUGCUAGGCAGAAUCCGGGGAAGGGGCAUCAUGGGUGCGCAAGUCUGGCUCUCCUACCAUCUGCCUGGAGUUUUUUCACUUCUUUGUGGCCCCAGAAUCUGUCUCAUACUCUUUUUGAGUCCUGGGUUGUUGCUGGUGAAAAUCUCACACUGUAUAUUUAUUUUGGUUUUCUGUUGGGGAUGUGAAGCCAGCUUGAUUCUAUACCGCCAUUUUAAAGCUGAAAAUCCUCCAGGGCUAAAUCAGAGCAGACCUUUGGCGGAACACUUUCUGUGCAUUUGUAAGGACUUUCUAUAGUGUGAACUCCCCGAUGCUGAAUGAACUUAGCGAUAUGGCUACAGGUUUUCCAACCUUUACUGCAUGAACAAGGCCUUUCUGUUGUGAACCUUCCGGCACCAAAGAAAGGAGAGUCCUUUGCUGAAUGCUUUCCCACAUCAGCUGCACUCACAAGGCUCAGCACCACAGUGGACUCUCCAGUGUUCAAUGCAGCUUGCAGCUGGAGUUGUGGCUAAGAAACUUCCCACACUCACGGCACUCAUGAGACCUUUCUCCAGCACUGGGUUCCCUGUCCUCGGGUUCUCUGGUGCUGAACUGUGCAUUUGCAGCUCAUGGCCCCCUCAACAUGCCAUACUUUCCAGGUGAAAGGUUCCCCCAACUUCGGUGCUCCUGUGUGGCUCCCCUCACCGUGACGGCCUGCUGCUGAAGAGGCCAGUGCUGGGUCCCAUCCUUGCCUCACCCUAAGGGCUUCCACGAUGUGUGGACUCCACAGCUUUCCACAAGGCCCUGCCCUCGGCCCUCCUGCAGCAUUUCUCUCUGCUGUGCUGCUUCUGGGCUGGUUUAAACAGAAGCCAAAGCCUCUCCCACAUGCCUCUCAUGGGUAUGCUUUCUGCCCAGGGUGUGCUCUCUGGCACUCAGUCAGGGGCAAAAUGCUUUUCAAGACUGGGCAUUUUCUCUUCACCUCUCCCCAUGGAAAUGACGAUUAUUCAGCUUUUGCUCACACACACUUCCCAUCAGUCCUCCUCCCGCCCUCCAUUCUCCUAAUAGGCUUCUAUCAUAAUAUGGUUACUGUUCAGUGCUUAUAUUUUAGGACUAUAUAAAUACUAUUCAUAACUAAAUUAUAUGAUAGUAUUACUGCGGUAACUUCUUCUUUCCUACCCAUUUUCCUUGGAGUUACGUCCCUUGGUUUCCUAGGUACUUGUCAAUAAUUCAAUCUCAGCUCCUAUGUAAACCCUCAAUAUGUUCAGAGGCAACAGGUGUCCUAAUAGUUAAGCUAUCUUCUCUGGAGCCAGCACUAAACCCAACCUGGCUGCCUUCUAUGCUGAGUGCACGGCUGCCAUCCUGGAACCUCCUUUUGCUGUGCUCCUGGGGAGUCACCUUGCUCUUUGCAUUGGAUCUCCCAUUGCCUUUAUGCCAUGCUUUCUCCUUUUGGAGUACAUUCUCUAGUCCUUUUAUUUAAAAGGGCGUGUAAAGGCCAGGCACGGUGGCUCCCACCUGCAAUCCCAGCACUUUUGGAGGCCAAGGCAGGCAGAUAGCUUGAGUCCAGGAAUUCAACACCAGCCUGGCCAAGAUGGCAAAACCCUGUCUUGACAAAAAAAUCAGCCAGGCACGGUGGCACAUGCCUGUGGUCCCAGCUACUUGGGAGGCUCAAGCAGGAAAAUCACUUGAGCCUGGGAGGUCAAGGCUGCAGUGAGCAGUGUUCGUGCCACUGCACUCCAGCCUAGGUGAGAGACCCUGUCUCAAAAAAAUAAUAAAAAUAAAUAAAACAGUGUGUGGAAUAUACAUUUUUAAGGAGCCUACAAGUCUUUUGGCAUGCCUUUUAAUCUAUCUGGAAAUAAUCUUCCUUCAGAAUUGGAGAAGGCCCACAUUCCGUGUUUCCUAUGUGGCAUCUGAGGACUGCAAAGUUAUUGAUUCCUAAUACUCUGCAUGUGUACUGUUCAUUCCCUCCAGCCGUUCCCCGGUGUUCUGAAAUCUCACACUCAUGUGCCUGGAUGUGCACACUGAUAAGGAAUGGAAGAAGGCAGGGUGCUUUCUCCUUCCAUUGCGUUGAAACUAGGUGCGCUGAGCCCUUGUAAUCCGGAAACUGACAGCCUUCAUUCUCAGAAUUAUUUUAUUUGCUGGGAUGCAUUGAAAGAUGUGUGAGGGCAUGUCCGGGGCCACGUUACGUGUGAGGGCAUGUCCUGGGCCACGUUACGUGUGAGGGCAUGUCCUGGGCCACGUUACGUGUGAGGGCAUGUCCUGGGCCACGUUACGUGUGAGGGCAUGUCCUGGGCCACGUUACGUGUGAGGGCAUAUCCUGGGCCACGUUACGUGUGAGGGCAUGUCCUGGGCCACGUUACGUGUGAGGGCAUGUCCUGGGCCACGUUACGUGUGAGGGCAUGUCCUGGGCCACGUUACGUGUGAGGGCAUGUCCUGGGCCACGUUAUGUGUGAGGGUAUGUCCUGGGCCAUGUUAUGGAUGGCUAACUUUAGGUCUUUCCUUUUAGGCUGGUGAGAUUCCUCAAAGAAGUCUCGUUCUGCUUUAUUUCUUGCUAGAGGAUACUACUGAGCUAUGGAUUUUAGAUACUGAAAGCUGAAAGCGGCACACCUCCUCUGGUCUUUCACGAGUUUGAAGUAGGCACGGUUGCCCAACUGUGUGGAAUGGGGAGUCUAACGGCUUCUUAAACAGGCCUCGACUACUAGUUUCACCUUAUCUCACAACUACUUCCAGGGGUACCUAGAAGUGCCAAUUCCAAAUCCUCUGGGAGCUCUGCGAGACAACUCGGACGCUCGGAUGUUCCCAUUUCUUUCUUACAAUGUAGAUUUCUCAGGUGUUUCUAAGUCAACUACCAUUCACCUAUUUUCUGGAGAGGUUCCCAAUUUUGUUGCUAUUUUUAAUCAUCCUGGUGGAUUUAUGUUUUAAAAAAAUUCCCUGUCAUAUCAAUGGGAUUUCAGGAGGAAGCAAUGGUAAACAGCUACAUCUAGCUGUACAGGAGGCUGGGAAAUGAAGCCUUUAUUCUGGGAAUCCAAGUGUCCAGCUAAAAACUUUGAGUUGUAUUAUCACAGAUGGAGAGAGUGGAUGAUGAAUGGAAACUAGCAAUCUCUGCCACAUAAAUCCAGUUAGUUUCAAGGCAAAGAGAGACUGAGACCGCUCGUGAUAAAAAGCCGCCUUUGCAGGAGAGUAGGAGAGGUGGCAGAGGUUCCGGGACAAGGAAUGAAGAGGCAGAACACACAAGGAGUCGCUGACAGAUGGAUGCAUGUCUUUAUUUAAUUCGUUCAUUCCAGGUUCAUCCCACAUCUUCACAUCUCACCCUCCCACCGUCAAAACAGGUCCCAUGUAACAACAGGGGGCCAAAAACAACAGGCUUGCCCACAGUCUCCAUCACCCCCUACCCCACGGAACACUGUGGGGACAACGGUACCUUGCUUGAAAGCCACAGGUUUCAAACACUUUUAGGGGCACAACUCUCUUCAAACUGGAAACCACGAGCCACUACGUAGAACAGGCUGUCAGGGAGUUUCAACCUGGGCAACAUUUGGGGUACGUCCCUGGAGCCCCAAGUUCCCUCAGAGCAGGUGAAAACUCCUGCUUCAGAGCCCUUCUUUCUAUCCAAUCACUUGAAACGUUCCAUAGAAAGAAGAAAGAAAAAAGAACUCCCUUCUUGAAAUGCGAAUACCAAGAUUUCGCACGACCAACACUUCCACCUGUUGAAAUAAACAGUCCACAAAAUUAAGGCAUUUGGGGGCAAUUAGAGGGAAGUAAAGCAUUUACUAAAGUUACAAUAUCAUAUCAAAAGUGUUCAUUAUGCUUUUGAAGGCUCUUAACUAGGCACAAGGGCAGAAACAGUCACGGUCCCGGCCACUGCAGGCAAACACGUGUUGAUUACCAAAGCAGAAAGGGAAACAGAGAGCUGGUGGUGAGCAUUCUCUUCAGCAGGUCCCCAGGCACCAGGCCCCCCUCCAAGUCAUGCCUCACAUGCCCAACAGCAAAGAGAAGCAGUGGGAGCUGAGCAGACACUGCAGGGCAGGGCAGGGCACUGCUGGCUAAAUUACAGCAGCAACUGUACACACGAAACAGCUUCUUCAUAAACACCAUUCUCAAACUGGAUUUAUGCACAUUCAUACACUACCUAGUAUAUCUAAGAGAUCUUGAAAUCAAAGCAACAUAAAAAAGAGAGACUCGCCUGCAAUCCAGGCACUGAGCAACGACAUGUCAAGGCAACAGAAAUCCCCCUCCUGCCCCCACUCACUUCUCCAUCCCACUGUCUGCUGAGAAUUUCUAGUAUUUAUUCCACACAUCACUGUACACUUCAAAAUCUGCACAUUCCUCUCCGUGGAAUUCUCCUGGGAUGUGAAUCCCACCCACGUGCAUCAUGUACACAUCUAAACUGUUUCAUUCCACACUGAGAGGUUCGGGUUUGGAGCGUUCAUUCCACACUGAGAGGUUCGGGUUUGGAGCGGGAGGAGGGGAGUGAGGCAUAAGUGAGAAAGGAGGUCACAUGGCCCAAACAGGUACUUCCAGGAGGCCAAUCCCAGCCGGUAGGGAUCCAGGCCCCGGGAGGCCAGGCCUGCUUGCCGAGUACCGACGGCCAGGUGAGGAGGCAGAAGCUGUAGCCCCAGAGCCAGAAGACCCACACUAGUGUCAUCACCAACAUACAGGGGGGCCACAGGCUCCCAGUGCCCAGGUUAAGGUGCAGUCCUCACCGAGAAGGCCACAUCAGCUUCCUGUGAGUGUGUCCCAUGGAUCCAGGGGUGGCCAGAGGCCCAUCACCACGGGUGUUGGCACUUCCUAAAACCGCACGCAGCGAUCUCCAGACUCGUUCUUGGCCAUGAGCAGCAGAAAUGCUGCAGUGCUGCCUGCCAGCGUACAGGCUGUUCAAGAACCCAAGAGGAAUUUCUCACCAAUACGUAAACAUGCACCACAGCUAGACUGCGGUUCCGUGACUUUGGGAUUUCAGAGACAGGCGAACUUAAGAAGAAAUUCUGGGGCUGACAAACAGCAACCAACAUUUUGUUUUGCAACCAAGAGCAUUUCAAAAAGCAAAAAUAUUGCCCUCUACUUUUACCUUCAUUACAUAAAAGGAAAUUUUAUCAUCCAAAUAAGGAAGAAAAUAACUUCAGAAUAAAGAACAAUCCUUUAAGUUGAACAAAUGUGACUUCAUCAAUUAUUUACCAUGCUGUUCUCAUACGCCUCACCUGCAUAGAGCGCUCUGUCCCCAGUGCUAUGCUGUGGGCCACAAGGACUCUGGCCCAUCGGGGUCCACAGUCCAGCCCGGAUCUCCCAGGGUCACACGUUCAUCCAGCCCUGUCACCAUCUCAAAUGCAUUUCCACUAAGAAGAGGGACAAGUCACCAGGACAGCAGUUUACACACACAUGGAGACUGCUUGCGUAACACAUUGCUUCCCAUGUGACCCCACAAAACCCUGCCAGAAAGGCACAGCAGGAAGCCUUGUCCCUGUCUGAAGUGGAGCUGCCUCUGUUAAUAGGGAUGUGGCCAAGGCCGCACGGAUGGCAGCAAAGCACAGGCCAAGCGUCUCUCUCAGGCAGACUCUUCCUUGGCUCAGUCCUAUGUCUGCUGUAUCUUCCUCUCCUUCUCUCAAGAACUUUUAAUUUGAAGAAUCAAUUCAUUGAAAAAGGAAAAAGAAAACUUACUAAAAACAAUUGUUCCUUCUCUUUAAAAUUACCUGUUUAACAAGUACAUUUUAACAAUGUACUAAAUUUUCAAAUGUCAAAAGAAAACACCAAAAAACAAGCAUUGUUGCCUUAAACACUUUUCUGGAACAAGGCAGAAUAUAAAUAAAUAAAUAAAUAACACGAGUGAUGCAAAGAGUCACAGAAUGUGGGUGAUAUUGAUGGGUUUAUCUAAAACCCCUCACCCGGGACUCCAAAGCUGAAUUCUCAGAGUUACCAACGUUGUCCCCCACCCCACCACAGCCCAGCCCAGCCCAUCUGUUGACAGCAGCCAAGGCCCAGGGCCCAGGACUGUUCCACAGCCACUGGCAGUGGUGACAGUCAGAUGCUUCUGGGAUGCAACCAGGGGCAACCUUCAGGCUCCUUCCCCCAGCCCAUCGAGCCCCUCUCCUAGGGAGGACUCCGGGCCAGCCAGGCAGCAGCCUCACUGAGGACCACGUUUCCCUGUCCCAUGGGACUUGGGCGCCCCAGGGCUUAGAAAGGUGAUUUCCUAAAGUGCUUAGGCGGAAAGUGCUACUCUUCCUAUUCUGUAACCUGUCCUUGCCAACAGAAAAAAAAGGGAGCUUUA